UCGAGCAAUGGAUCUAAGUCUCACACUGUCGAAGACAGAAAUCGUCGUUCUGACGAGACAGUGAAUACCCACCAUCAUAACCGUGACAGUGAAUUCCGAAGAAGUUACCGCGAAGAAGUCGGCGAAAUAUUUGGGUGUUAUGCUAGACACGAAGUUAACAUUCUGGCCACACCUACAGCAAGCAGUGAAAAAAACCACAAAGAAAACUGAUGAGAUAUGCAGGUUAAUGAAGAACGUUGGAGGCCUUAGGCCCUCUGGCGACGGCUCUGUGAGAAGGCUCCUCAUAACGACGAUGCAUUCGAUCUUGCUAUACGAGGCCGAGGUGUAAGCCGAGGCACUGCGCACGAAGUUCCAAAAGGGCUUGUCGAGAGUAUAAAGAGGCGUUGAGGAUCGCACCGUCUAAGAGGCGAUGGCCUUCUAGAUUCCUAUCGAUUUACAGGCCUUCGAGCGGCAAGAAAUCUACAAGAGGAGUGCCCAAUACGAUUGAGCUGAGGCGCCAAGAGCGGAGCGAGAACGCACUACGAGCCAGUGGUAGGAGAGAUGAGCAGUUGAUGCGUCCACCUGCUUAACACAUUCGUCGCCCAGUGCGAUUCGGUUGAGUUUCUCGCCGAACCCAAAAAUCCGACUGUCGGACGUCGGAACGUAAAGAAGUGAUAACACUAAACGUACCGAGCCCAGUCAUUUGACCUUUUUUUAAGUUUAAUUAUAAAUUCUUCACUUAUAUUAUUUUUUUCGGUCAUCAUUAACCUCUAAAUUCUUAGAUUCUCUGAUUAAUUAAUUUCUCAACUUUGGUUUUUUUUCUUUGUUUUCUUUCAUCACCUACGUUUCUUAUCAUAGCUGGUCAUUUGACAGGUGUACAAAUUUUUUAUCAUUUUCUAAAUUUUUCGACCUGGAUCUUAUCUGUGGACUUAAGUAUGACAACUAUAGAUAGUUAUAUACAUCUUAGCAUUUAGAAUAUGGGUUUUGUUUAUCGUAAGCUGCCGAAUAAUCUGGCAGAGUCGAUAUCAAGUAUAACCUCAAAAUUUUAUCGGUCCCUUUUAUAUUCAAGGAACAAAAUGCAUGCUUUUUGUGCUUUUGUUCUUCGAUAAAAAUAAUCUAUUCUAACUGAUAUUUAAAUUCAUUCUUUUGAAAAUCGCAGAAUACAGAUCGAAGAAUAGGUAUAUAUGAUAGGCCGGUAUGUUUUAUGAUAAGCAGGAAUAGCAAUAAUGUAAUUCGAGUAGGCCCAUACAUUAUCGAUUAUCUAAUGCUACAGAGCCUUGGAUUCUUUGUAAAGAAUAAAGUGUUUAGUUCCGAAAUGGAAAAAGCGAUAAGCUUGUCAGCUAGAGGACUGCCUGCAAUCUCACUGCAGUUAUCCCAGAUCCUUCAUUUAGUCGAGAAGCAUCCUUUUUUUUAGACGCACAUAAGUGAUUUUUUUAUCCUGAAAAUGUUCAUUGGACGGCGUAAAAGUAUAAUUGAAAGUGAAGAGAGUAGUAAUGAUGAAGUAGUGAGUUUUAGAAAAAAAGUGAUAAAUAGAAUUUCAUAAAGUUCAGAUUCCAAUACUGAAGAAUCAUAUGCAAGUGAAAACUUUAACAACAUGUUGGCAGGACUUGCUAUAGACAAAGAGAAGGAACUGAACUCUGUUGAUAAUUAAACAAUAUCCAGUGGAACGAAUUCGCUAACAGGCAACAGUCAUUUCCGUUCACUGGAAAAGAUGGGCUUCUGAUGGAUUUGCCGUUUGAUAUUAGCACAAGUGAAGUGCUUUCGCUAUUCUUAGACGAAAAAUGAUAAGCCUUUUAGUCACAGGAACUAAUAGAUAUACAGAGCAAAAAUUGCACCAACAUAAAAUGACUGAUCAUGCUCGAUUGAACAAAUGGAAACCCAUCACUUCUGAAGAAAUUACAAAAUUUAUCGGAUUGAUGAUUUGGAUAGGUCUAGUACAGACUUGUUAAAUGCGAAGAUAUUAUAGUCGACGAGACAAUGGUAUCCGAUGUAAAAAGCAAAUAUAUGAGCUACUUGUUUUAAAAGUGGCCUAAGUCCGUUUGUCAAUUAUCUUUUGUUGACUGUAGUAACUUGAAGUUAGCUGUCAUAAACAACAUUUUUCGGGUAAGUAUAUUCAGUGUAUACGAUGAUUUUGGACACAAUUUUUUUCAAUUAUUUCAAUAAUUAAAACCCUUACUUUAAAAAUGGCCUAAAUCCAAUUGAUUGAAAUGUCCGAAAGUACAAAUUAUCAAAUGUCCGAAAGCAACGAUGAAGGUAAUUUUAAUUAAUUAGUAUUUAAAAAGUUAACCUCACAUUUUGGACAGUUGCUUUAGUUAAAUAAUUAAAAUUAUUACACCCAUGGGAAAGAAUAAAUGAAUAAGAUCGUUUAAUUCAGAGAGUGAAGACGAAUUAAUAAUUAAUGACUUCAACAAAAAUCGAAAAAGAAUAAGAAUUGUAUAACAACAUUCGUUAUCAGAGGUAAAGAUAUAGAUGACAACAGAGAAAAUAAUUGUGACAUAUACCUUCAAAAAGUGCGAAAAAUUAAAUGGAAUACUGGAAAAACAUAUUAUACUUAAACUGGAAAAUUAUACCUUAACAAAAUUUUUCAAAACAAAAAUUGUCGUUGUCGAAAAGCUUGCAUAAAAAAUUACCAAAAAGAAGAAAGAAAGAACACUUUUAAAAAGUUUUGGAAUUUGGGAGAUUUUAAUAAACAAUAUGCAUUGCUAUAUGAAGCUAUGCUGUGAAACGAAGAAGUCAAAAAAAUGAAAAAGGUUCGCCAAGAAUUUAUAAUUUUAGAUAUUUAUUAAAUUCUAAAAAAAAAAAGAAUAUUUUCCGCCUGUAAAAAAUUCUUUUCGAAUAUCUUUAAAAUAAAUGAAGGAUGAUUAAAACAUAUAUUAAACUCUGCAAAUGUAGGAAAUGAUUUACGUGGGCUUAAUUGAAUCAUCGAGAAAAUUUUCUGAGGAAAAGAAAAAACACGUUCAAAACCAUAUUAAAAGUUUUCCCAAAUUUGAAUCCCUUUAUACAAGAUCUUAAAAUCAUAAUAGAAAAUAUCUACAUCCUGAUCUAAUUCUAGAGAAAAUGUUUAAUUUAUACGAGCUUUAUUACAAAGAAAAUAAUAUAAAAGCAGUUAAUAACUAAACUUACAUAAAAAUAUUUAAAAAGAUUUUAAUUUAUAUUUCCACCAACCGCGCAAGAAUAUGUGCCAAAAAUGCGACCUAUUAAACAUUAAAAUAAAGAUAUUGGAUAAUAAUGAAGAAAAGAUUAAACUUAUGAAAGAAUAUGAUGUCCAUUUAAGGUUAGCUGAAUCAGCUAGGAAGUAAUCAAAACAAGAUCAGCUAGAAAGUCAUUAAAACAAGAUUACGUAACACAAUCAGUAUUACGUAAUUCAGAACAUUAUUUCGUUUUUUCUUUCGACUUGCAGAAAACAUUAUCUUAUUUAAAGUUGUUUACUUCAGUAGCAUAUUAUAAAUGUAAUAUAUACGUCCUAAAUUUGGGUAUUCACAAUUUUCAUGAUGAUAAUGUUCAUAUGUACGUUUGGAAUGGAAUUAUAGCUUCAAGAGGUUCCUAAGAAGUAGCUUCAUACAUAUUGAAACAUUUUAAAAAUCUAAGAAGUGAAAGACAUAUAGUUUACAGUGACAUGUGUGCAGGACAAAAUAGGAACAUUAAAGUAUCUUUAACUUAAUUUAGCUUAAAGUAGCUAAAAAUUGUUCAAACUGUUGAACAUAAUAUGAAAAUCAUAAAUCAUAAAUUCUUAGUAUCAUAAUAUCUUAGUAUUCGUGUUGAGAAACUGUAAACUCAAUUUGAACAAAAAUAAAUUCCCGCCCCUUUUUAUAGUCAAGACCAGCUUCGACCAUCUUAAUCGACGUAUCGAUCCAAUGUAUUGAUUCUUGUCGAAUUGUAUAAACACUUCUUGUCUUAUAAAGAAAAAAAAAACACAGAA